rnacentral:rRNA from 1 species
CUUGCAUGAGUAUACUCAUGCUUGCAGCUAUGUGCCCUUGAUGUGAUACUGGAAGGUAAGCAGAGUUGGCUGGGUUAGUAUUUGGAUGGGAGACCCACCCAGAAAAGCGAGGGCUCGGCAGGA